GGGCAGCAAAAAUAAUCUUGCAUUUUUCAUGGAUACAUGUUAUACAAUAUAGAUUACAUUUCACAGAUGACCAUUUGGCCUCAACUCUACAAUAAUAUGAUACUAAAAUUGUACAUUGGCUACGUGAGAUUAUGAUCAUCACUAAGAGUCAGCACGUAAAAUUAUUAAUUACUCUAAGCUAGUCCCAAAAUAGAGAAAAAUCAGUCAUGGGGAAUUAUCUGACGUAUUGCCCUCUUUACCUCUACAAUGCUUACCUUCUUUCCAGCAACAUUGUCCUUUACCUUAGCCCUCAAUUCAGCCACAAACACCCCAUUAUUCAAAGAUGACUGAACAGCCGUGGUUUCUAUCCGAAGCUCCCUAAGCAUUUGCAUUAUAUCAAGUAACAGUCCCUCUCUGUACCCACAUUGUAUCUCUAGCAACGCAUCGCACUCUAUUAUCGACACUUCUACAUUGGUCUCUGCCUCCAUCAACUCCGAUGUCUCCACCGUCUUAGGCUUCGCGCAGCCACCACUAACUUCCACUAUCCUUAAUUUCCUCUUAUCUGAUCCUGGACCAUUCCUAGCCCUAUCCGUCACGGUGACCGUGCUUCUUUGUUCUUUCAAGCUAGACGUUCUCCGUGGUGGUUCUGCCAAUCUUGACCGUUGCUCAAUCUCCAUAUGUCGGUUACGCGCCUCCAAUUCCUGAAUCUUUUUACGGAGUUGCUUCACGUACUCGAUGGUGUCCCCUAAUAUUGAUGCCUUGUCCAUUUUGGUGACGAACGGCACUAGCGACCUUAGUAUUAUAAACCUCUCGUUCAGCUUCUCUCGACGUCGGCGCUCGGCGAGCACGUGGUUGGCACUGAGCUCAUCCUGAGGGGCGCCGCCCUUGCGGAAGCGAUUAGCGGAGUCGCCAUCACGUGACUUGGGUGAAUUCUCUUCGCGGUAUUUGUGGUGGAGGUAGGGUACGCUGAAGAGAAUGUACUUGAGGAACCACUGGGAUGUGCCCUCGACGGAAAAGUGGAGGACGUGAUCGGAGCAGCGGUUUGUCCACUUAGUGAAUGCUGAUUGAUUGGAGUAUGAGAGGUAAGCGGCGGAGGAUGAUUCAGCCCACCGGAUGCGCUGGCUCUGGAGAAUGGCGGAGACAGUUUGGGAGUAGUGAGUGUCUUCCUGCGGCAUCCCUUGGUGUGGAGGUGGUCCUGCGGAAGGUGCUGCUUGAAGGCUACUACUCAGCGGGUCUUGCACCAUCUCCCACCUCCGAGCCGACUCUGCUCUAAAUGAGUCACCUCGAUUCUGAUGAACCGCCGGAUUCUCUGAACCGAUUAAAUGGAAAUCUGAUUCCAAAUUAUUUGACCCAUCGUCUGGUGAUCCAAGCCUAAUAUCCUCGGACAUCUCCAGUUGCAUCAGUUCGCUUGGCUCUGCUGUUGUUACGGUUUCGGCGUUUUGUGCUUGCAUAGCGACAGAGCGAGUGUUUCGACCUGUUUCGGCUUCUGAGUCAGACCCGUCUUCCUCUUCUUCGUCAUCUUCUUCUUCCUCCUCCUCCUCAUCGUCUUCGUCUUGUUUAUCAUUCGUACGAGGGUCUGUGGCGCCGUAUAUGGAAGGGAUGGGGGGGUGGAAGUGGGGUUGAUCUGAUGAGGUGGCGGGGUUGGAAGUUGAGUGUUCCGAGAGAGCCGGUUUUGGUGGUGGGGGAAGAGGGGGAUGGUGGUGGUCAAUGAAGAAGCCCUUCACUUGUUGGACAAAUCCAAGGUCCUCUUGAACCUUCUCAGUUGUUCCGAGCUCCACGACACCAUCAAGAAGGGGGAUGCAUACUACAGUCUGUAUACGGGCACUCUUGGCAAGAAUAGCCCUAGAAAAAGUUUUGCUGUCAAUCUCAUUUGCACCGGUGAGCCACACAUGCUGCCGUCGUGCAUAUGCCUUUCCCGGUAACCCCACACCAGGAGGAAAAGAGAAGGACACACACAUCAAAUAAAACCACUCAGACUCCGUUAAGUCCUCCGGGGACAACGCUGCACAAGGCCUCCUUGCUGGCUGGUUCGUCUCUCCUGCUGACAAUGACUCGUAAAGCUCUCUAAGCUGCUGGCUCCUUUGCAAAGAAGCCUCCUCGGCACUAACCUCCAUUGGUUGCACUGUCUUUCUAGUCUUGAUUGCUCCAUUGUAAUACCCAUCUCCCCACACUAAGAUCCCUUGCUGGGGACAAAAUUGCCAGAAGAGACUGUAAGUCCACUGAACCGAUUGCACCGCCGCCUGCAACAUACCCUGCAAGCGGCUACUAGGCGGGGCAGCCAUUCUUGCAAUUAAUAGUAUGAUUCUAUAUUCAAAAUUGAGGGGGCUAAAAGGG
rnacentral:misc_RNA from 1 species